UACGUAGGGUGCGAGCGUUAAUCGGAAUUACUGGGCGUAAAGCGUGCGCAGGCGGUUCGUUGUGUCUGAUGUGAAAGCCCCCGGGCUCAACCUGGGAAUGGCAUUGGAAACUGGCGAGCUGGAGUGUGGCAGAGGGGGGUGGAAUUCCGCGUGUAGCAGUGAAAUGCGUAGAGAUGCGGAGGAACACCGAUGGCGAAGGCAGCCCCCUGGGCCAACACUGACGCUCAGGCACGAAAGCGUGGGGAGCAAACAGG
rnacentral:rRNA from 1 species